AUCUCAUUGCUUGAGAACUAUUGAACUAUACUGUUUUGUAAGAGUAUUUAAUAACUUGAUAACUAAAUAUUCCUCUGCUAUUUUCUGAGAAAAUAACGAUACAAUAAAACAAGAUUAUUGGAAUGGUAACGCAACAUGUGUUAAGUAUGUAACAAACAGAUUCUUCCUUCAGAUAAGUAUUGACACUAUAUUUUAUAUGAUAUAGCUCAAAUAACGCAUGUUUAUUGAUUACAGUUUAUUUCAUCAUGUUGUUCAGUUUUAGUUAGAUCUUGUUUCAAGAGAUGUAUGUUUUAGCAUAGAUUAAUUUAUGUAAAUAAGCUAAAAUACCUAAUGUAGAAAAAAUAUUUACCUUCAGAGUAACAAAAUACUAUUCUAAAAAAACACAGAGAGACAUUAAGACCAGAUCAAAACUGUCUGAUCUAUGUUUUCUAAAUAAUUGAUGCAAUAAAACAUGGUUAUUGAAAUGGUAACGUAACAUGUGUAAAGUAUGUUACAUACUGAUUCCUCCUUCAAAAAGAUGUUUAAACUACAUUUCCAAACAAGAUAGUUCACAUAAUUGUUAUUUUAUUGAUAACAAUUAAUUAUAUCAUUUUAUUAAAUUUUAGUGGUAUCUUGUUUCCUGAGACGUUGGUUGUGGUAGUGGUCAAUUUUACGCAAAUUAGCUAAACAUACCUAUUAUGGAGUAAAAACUUUACCAUCAGUGUUACAAAAUACUAUUUAAGAAAACACUGAGAGACUUUUAGAACAGAUCAAAACUGUAAGGUACAAUUAAAUUGAUUUAAAACUUAGAAACUAUUAUUUUCUAAAAUAGCCGUCGGUUUCUUUUAGCCACGCCGGUAUUUGGCAAAUUCAGCCCAUAUCUAUACGCGCUUUACAAAAAUGAAAAUUGCCUUAAAUUGUUACAUUAACCCACCUAUUUUAAAGUUAGUAUGUUUUGAUAUAAUAUCAUUACUAGUUUUUUGUAAAUAAGUACGAGAAAAUUGAAUUUGCCAUGGCAAAACGGUCUUUUGCCAUUCUUCAUUUUGCCAUGGCAUUUUUUUUUCAUUUUUCUUAUAAAAUGAUUUUAACUAUUUCCAAACGUAUGUAUAGGUAGAAAUAUGAUGUUCCAUAUUAAUUUCUUAGUUUUUUUAAUUUUGCCAUUGCAAAAAAUUGCCAUGGCAUUUUUGCCAUUGCAAGAUUCUGCCAUGGCAAGAUUCGGCCAUGGCAAUUUUGCCAUGACAAGAUUCAGCUAUAGCAAUUUUGCCAUGGCAAUUUUCUUUUUCGAAUUUUUUAAAGGAAGGUUUUUAAUUUUAGUGAUUAUGAAAUACAAUACUAGCAGGAACAGAAAUGAUUUAAAGUUUCUGAUGAUGGCACAUUUAAAUUGACAAGCGCAAAAUCUUGCUACAUAGAUUGCUUAUUGAUUUUCAGUGGCAAGGAGUAGUUUUGUACUUCCUUUUUUAAUAAAUGAAAUGAGCAAUCAUUUAUACGCAAUUGCUUAUAGCUUAUUACAAUCCAUAAAUACUCAAUUUAAAAUAGCUUACAUUAGCAAACGUCUUCAACAUAGUAACAUUUAGGAAAGUAGUUAUUAUUGGAUAAAAUAAACAGCACACUUUCUAAUUUAUUUAUUGUGUACAGGGCAUCUUGCUACAUAGAUUCUGCCACUUUUGUGUUGAUUUAUAGGUUUGAACAACAAUAGUUAUUAUUAUGGAUAUUAAUGACCAUUAUAGAAAUAAGAAUUGACAUAAAUGCUUUCCGUAAAAAUUGUCAUUUCAUAAAAUUCUCAUUAAUAUUCAUGAAUAUGCAAAUGUGUCAAUUAACAUAAAAAUACUGCUAUUUUAAGGCCAAUGUCUUAGCUCCAGUUUGAUUCCAUUUUUAUUGUUUUAUCACCAAAUCAGACCAAGAUAUGACUGGUUAGCAUUCAUAUGGUUGUCCUUUCCAAAAAUGAACGGUUGCCAUGGAAACAGUGAAAUCAUAUAUAGUUCAAAAAAGUUUUUUCAUGGGAACAUUUUUUAUUUCGAAAGAGUUGGUCCUGCCGAACAAUUUGGUACCUAUGAAAAAAAAGUCUAGGGGGGAUGCAUGGUAGACCUUAUUGGCCCCCUACCUAAUACCUAUGUGUAUAGAGUUCCAUUUACAAGUGUUACUGUUACCAGUUUUGACAAACUUUUAUAGACAUUCACAUUUAGAGUGGGUGGGGUAAUUUCUUAUUUGACCAGCCAGGAACACAAUUUCCGUCUGUUUUUUUUUUAAAUGGUUCAAACUUUUUACUUUGAACUUUCAUGUUAAAAUAACUAUUAAAUGGAUAUUCACACACAUAUGUUGCAUUGUAAAUUGUCUUGAACACUUUUUUUCAUCACAGAGCCACAAAGUGGCCUAAUCAAAUUUAAUGAUUUUUAAUGGACAAAUUUCACCAAAAAUCUAGAACAUUUGUAUUAGUUGAGAUAUUCAUUUGUUAAUAAUACUUCACGCUACCUGGAUGAUAUACUAAAUAUGAAAACUCCUAUUUUUUAUCAGUUAGUGGAAAAUAUUUACCACAGGGAGCUGCAGUUAAAUAAAACUAAUAACUCGGAUAAUACUGCUUCAUUUUUAGAUUAACAUCUCUCUAUUUACGACAAUUUUAUACAUACCAAAAUUUAUUUUUAAGUGGGAUGAUUUUAAUUUCAGUAUUGUAAAUUUCCCCCAUUUGGAUGGGGAUGUACCCCAGGCUACAUCUUAUGGGGUAUAUAUUUCCCAGUUAAUUCGGUUUGCAAGAGCGUGCAGUCAUGUUGAGGAUUUCAAUGAACUUAACUUAUAUAUUUCAAAUAAGCUUCUUUAUCAGGGCUACCGUUAUUAUAAUUAUGUAAAUACUUUUUCAAAUUUUACUAUCAUAAUUCAGAUUUGAUUUUGAAAUACAUUAGCAAUUUAAAGACACUUCUGCGAGAAAGUAUUUCAAAACCCGCUUUUUAUGGGGAUGUGUUUUACAAACUUCGUAAGAUUUUUGGUCAUGGCAAUUUUCCAAUUGUAUUUAGUAAAGUGAUUAAACGUUUUAUAAAAAGAGGUUAUGACCCAACUGUUUUGAGACACACCGCAUGUUUGGUGUUCAGCCCUUUUACAGUUGGACGCUACGCUUUCCUCUUUGAUUGUGUCUGACGGAACAGGUGAAUGACUCUAUGAUAAGUAGUUCUUAAAUCCCACUAGGACUGAGUUAUUAUGAUUUCCGUCUUCUGGCCUAUUUCGUCGGGCCUUUAAGGGUGUUUCCCUUGUUGCUCUGUCUUCUGCAAAGGCACUGAGUACAUAUGUUUUAGGUUCUUAAUGAUUGCAUUUUUAUAUCUAUAUAUACAUGAGCAUUUUUGUGUUUUCAAUUACGUGCCUUUGUUGCCUUUACGUAUGUUAGGGUUUCACCUGGCGGGGAUAACUUUUAUUUACACUGUCUUUUGACUUUGAAUCAUGGUGGGAGAAAGAGUUAGGUUAGGUGCACCAUUCACCGGUUUAAACUCCCCAGUGGUGGUUUUGCCACUGACCGUUCCAAGGCGGUGCCCAACUGUGUUCCUGUAUUUGUUUGUUUUGUCAUUGCGUAUUUAUUUUGUGUAUGUGUGCAGUUGUUCGUGUGUGUCUUUGGGGAGACUGCGUUUUGGGAACGUGGCUUUCCCUGUUGGAUAUUCUUCCUUGUUUUUAUUUUCAGCAGAUAUUGUAAACUAAGUAAACAUUAAAAUGACAGUAUAUCAGUACACGCUGAUUAAUAAUGGGAUGAAAUUAUUCACGUUUCCCGUCGUUACUAUAUUUCAGUCCCUGCUUUCUUUCUUGCCUCAAAAGUCUUUAACAUAUUUUUGUUUAUGCAUUAUUAGUCUUGCUUUGCACGAUUUCUUUCGUGAUUAAGCGUCAGUGUAUAGCAUUUAAAACUUGCAUUAGAAGUGUUCUAGUUACUCAAGGCAAGUAUUUGACACCAGAAAGUUAUUUCUUACGUACAACAACUUAUCUUAUAUAUUAUGUCGCGGGAAAAUUCUCCACAUGGGCACAUUCAGAGAGAGUCUCGGCAAGAAGUUGUGGAAGAACUGAAAGAGUAUUUUGACAACAAAUUCGAGAGUCUUCAGAGUGAUUUAAAAAAGGGAUUCGGAGUGGACAGCCUCUUCUGCAGCAAAGAAAGGAAAAGCGUGAUUCAGUCUUGUCAUUCAAAAACAUUUCUAACAAGAAACAAUUUGAGUUUAACUCUUCUGUAUUAGACAUAGUUGACAACAUAGAGAAAGCAGUAUCAUAUCGAGAGGCUACUAAAGCCCUUGGAUUUGUGAAAGAGGCCAGGAGUGCUAUUAAACAUAGAAAUAAACUUAUUAGAAUUGCUAAUAGUUCUGAUUCAGGCUGGGCUACCAUUAAUGAAUAUGAACUUUUGGAAAUUGCCUCAGACUCUGAGGAUGAUAAGAGAAUUUGUCGCGCAGAAGAGCGCGCCAUGAAAAAAAAAAACAGAGAAAAAAUCUAAUAUGUUGGAUGUCAGUUCUCGUUCUAGUUCUUGUCGCAACUUUAGAUUCUCAAGAACUAUGAAAGGACAACGUUUUGAUGUAGGAAACGUUGUUUGCUACAGGUGUGACCAAGAAGGCCACUACGCCAACGUUUGUACCGGGCCACGUGGAUUCAUGGGACAACAACCCUGUGGAGCCGGCAAACCGACAGCCACAGUAUCCAAGCCGCCAGCUGACGAAACAAGAGGAUUUUCAAAAAGUAACUUUCAUGACAGACUUUCAGAUUACGAUAAGUAUCUGUUUUUGACCAGACUAUUUACCAGUUGAAAGAAUGUGCACUUUUUUAUGAAUAUGCGAAGAGCCAAGUAAACAUCCAAUCAGAUUUCGUUAAAGGAAGGUUGAAAAAUUGCAUUUCGUUUUUGUCCGUCUAAUAAUGAAAUUAUUGAUUUUAUUGAAAAGGGCUAUGUAUUUCCAAUGACGGAAAAGCCUCCAUCCUUUCAUUAACGAAAUGAUUUAUCAGCUUUGAAAAACAAAGAUUUUGUAGAUGUUGCUGUUAACGAAUUAUUAGAGAAAAACUGUGUGUAUCAAGUUGUUUUGUCAAACCUCAUAAUGUCAACCCGUUGUCUGUCGUAACCAAUUCUGAAAAUUGUUUGUUGUUAGAUCUGAGAAUUAUUACAUUGUUUGUCGUAAGUUUUUCUUGCUUUCUCAGGAUUUCUGAAGCACUUAAUUUGAAAAGUUCUGAUAUUGGAAAAACACGAUAGAUGGCGUUCUGAGUCCGCCAAGGGGAAUGUUAAGGGCAGUGUUAAGGAACGGCUGUCGGUUUCUUUAAAACCUAGACAUUUGUGUUGUUUUGAUUAACUUUGUGCGUUUUAAUAAUAAUUCUUCAUUUCCAUGAAAUAUAUUGAGUUAUUGAAUUAUUAUAACUGGUUAUAUAUUUAUGAUAUAUUUCAUAGAUAUCGAAGCGUACAUAUCAGUUUACUUUUAAAUUAUUUGUUGACUAUAACUAGAAUUUGAUUUUUAGACUGUCGCAAUGUAGUGCAGUGUGUGUCUAGUGACAAUGACAUACCAGAGGAUAAAAUUGUCCCAUAUCGAUUUCCUAUCCUGAACACUGUUAUUGUGCAAGUGAGUUAUUCAUUAAUAAGGUAAGCGAUUUUCGAAGUUCAUUUCUUCAUUUCGGUGCGAGAUGGAAAUUUGCACGAUGUUGCGAAUUUGACUUUAUUGUGAAGCUGUGAAAGCUCACUUGUUAUGUUGAUGUGACGCUGUGAAAGUUCACUUGUUAUGUUGAUGUGACGCUGUGAAAGCUCACUUUUUAUUUUGAUGUGACGCUGUGACAGCUCACUUGUUAUGUUGAUGUGACUCUGUGAAAGCUCACUUUUUAUUUUGAUGUGACACUGUGAAAGCUCACGUGAAGUGUUUUGUGUGAAGCUGUGAAAGCUCACUUGUUAUGUUUUGUGUGAUGCUGUGAAAGCUCACUUGUUAUUUUUGAUGUGACGCUGUGAAAGCUCACUUGAUAUGUCUUGUGUGAAGCUGUGAUAGCUCACUUGUUAUGUUUGAUGUGAUGCUGUGAAAGCUCACUUGAUAUGUUUUGUGUGAAGCUGCGAAAGUUCACUUGUUAUGUUUGAUGUGACGCUGUGAAAGCUCACUUCUUAUUUUUGAAAAGUCGCUUUGAAAGCUCACUUGAUAUGUUUUUUGCGAAGCUGUGAUAGCUCACAUGUUGUUUUUUUUUAUGUGACGCUGUAAGGCUCACUUAUUAUGUUUGGUGACGCUGUGAAAGCUCACUUGUUAUUUUAGGUGACGCUCUGGAAGUUAAUUUGUUAUGUUGGAUUCGACGCUGAUAAAGCUUACUUGUGAUGCUUUAAUUAGCUUUGAAAGCUCUUUUUAUGACUUCUCUAUAUUUAUUACAUUUUUAUGCCAUUAUCCUAUUUGUUUAAUCAUUGGUUUCAUAAACGAAAUUUCAGAGACGUCUUCGUUUUAAAACUUCAGUAACCGGCGAGCAACAACGAGAUUGCCAAUCAGAAUUCCAUGGAGUUUGUAUACACUACAGUUUAUGACUCAUAUGAGUAAUGUUUUAUUAUUCUUCUUUGCUUCAACUCGGUUAAGUUUUGGAUAUGACUAUUAUUACUUGUGUUCAUAGGUUAAGCAAUAUCAAUUUCUAUGUAUUCGCAUUCUCUUCGAGUGUUUGUGUAUUAAGUAUAAAGCCUUCUUUGUUUUGCUCGAUCGAAAUGGUGUCAAAUACAAUUGCCCGUAUCCUAUUCUGUUUCUGUUGUAUUUGUAGUUAUAGUAACAAGGGAUAAGUGAAUAAUUUAUUUACUCACGAGUUAAAGUGAGUAAAUGAAAUUAUUCACGUUUCACGUCGUUACUAUAUUGCAGUCCCUGCUUUCUUUCUUGCCUCAAAAGUAUUUAACAUAUUUUUGUUUAUGCAUUAUUAGCCUUGCUUUGCACGAUUAUUUUCGUGGUUAAGCGUCAGUGUAUAGUAUAGUAUUUAAAACUUGCAUUACAAGUGUUCUAGUUACUCGGGGCAAGAAUUUAACACCAGAAAGUUAUUUCUUACUUACAACAAUUUAUCCCACCCACCCGCCCGUUAUUUUACAAUGGUAUACAAAAUUUACUCCUUUUUCUGUUAAUAUAGGCACAUUUUGGUGUUUCUUUUCUUGCUGUUGCUUUAAAGUAUUUUAGUAUUUUGCAGGUAAAUCAAAGAUUCCCUGGCUCCAGGAAAAAAUACAGAAUACAUUGAAUUAAACUAUUCAAUUGCUUUGUAUAUCGAAAUGGUGUCAAAUACAAUUGCCCGUAUCCUAUUCUGUUUUUGUUGUAUUUGUACUUAUAGUAACAAGGGAUAAGUGAAUAAUUGAUUUACUCACGAGUUAAAGUGAGUAAAAAGUGGUACACUCUCAAACUGGGAAAAAGAGGGUUCGGGUAAUUAAACAUACGAAGCAACACGAUUAAAGGAAGAAAAAUUGUGCAGUCAAGAAAUGGCCUCAGAUUAUCUACUCCUAUCUUAAUUGUGACCCCUAUGAGUGGUGGGGGCAUAUAGAUUUUGUCUUGUCCGUGCAUUUGUGCGUCUGUCCGUCCGAAGUUUGUCACGCGCUAUCUCAAAAGGUAGUUGAUAUAAAUUAAUGAAACUUUGCAUGAGUCUUUAACCUGUUAUGAACUUGCGUACCUCCAAACUUUUGUCUGGCUCCGCCUAUUAAAUCCAGAGGUAUGGCCCCUGACACAGUCAAACCUCACAUUUUCACAUUUUGACGCGCCUAGGUCAAAAAGUAUUUCAUAUAGAUCGAUGGCACCUUGCAGGCGUCUUAAAAAUGAUAUGAAUUUGCGCACAUAUUAUCUUUUUACUAGCUGUGUCCCUUAUUUCUAGAGUUAUGGCCCCUGAAAUAGUCACAAAUGCACAUUUUUAUCUAAUUUUGCGCCCGGUUCUAUUUUUCGUCCGGCUCUGACCCCUUUUACCAGAGUUAUGGUCCCUGAAAUAGUCAAAAAAGCACAUUUUCACCUUGUGACGCACCUAGCUCAAACGGUAUUUGAUAUAAGGUGAAGAAAACUUGCAUGAGUCUUUGUCAUGAUAUAAACAUGCGCACCUUCUAUUUUUUGUCAGACUCUGACCCCUAUUUCCAGAGUUUUAAUCCCUGACAUAGUUAGAAAAGCACAAUUUCACCUAAUGAUGUGCCUAGCUCAAAAAGUAUUACCUAUAAUUACCUGUUAAUUUGGUACAGUAUUUUACUCUGAAAAUAUUCGAGUUUCAUCAAAAAUAAAGACAAAACAUGGCGGUUUUCUAAGAAUCAAACGUACGUUACCUUGGUUUUAAAGGUCAUCAAUUCAAUUCCAUAUCUCAUAUAUUAUUCUGCCUGACUAAUGCACAUAUCAUGCUAAAUGGCAUGGCAAAGAACCUACUCGGUCAUUUUAUAUAGCAUCAUAAAGAUGAAACACACGUUAUAAAACAAAUGUUAACAAGAUUACAUAGAACGUUAAGUAACAUCAAACCUAGGACAGUGUAUGGGAUUUGUUGCAAUCUGGCGACUUCAAGACAAUGGCUGAUACAUUUUCAAUGCGUUUGUGUUUUGGAUGAUAAGAUUGUAUUCUUUUCUGAUAUUACUGGUUUAUAUUAAUUACAUAUUCAGUUGCUAACGUGAUUCCAGAAGUAUAUAAACACUGCAAAUUAUAUUCUUAUAGCCCUUUAUACAUAUUCAGUUACAACAUGGGUGUGAACAGAUGUCAGUUUUGGGAAAAAAACACGUUUCUUCACAUACACCAUUUUCUUUGUCUAUAAUAAUUUUAGAUAUUACUUUUAUGUCCAUACGUGUUUUUAACAAAUGUUAGUAAGUACAAAAACUAAUUCAUUCAAAGAAGUGAAGGACAGUUUUGUUAUGUCUUUAAAACAUUAAGUGAGUUAAUUUCGGUAACGUAUGUUUCAGAACUGCAAAAACAAACACAUUAUAACAUUAAUGUACAAAAUAAUUAUGACAGAAAUAUAGAGUAACAUUUGGUGUAUGAGAUGUCGCGAGAAGAACAACAAAUACAUGAAAUAUUCUUCCAACAUUUGACGUUUGAAAUUUGGCGAAAAGUUACUGUUUUGGAUAAGUUCGUCAUACCUGCAUAGAUGCGUAUGUUCAUGCUUACGAGGUAAGCAUUAUUUGUUUGGAGCAGACCUGUGAUGCAUUGAUGUUUAUAUUCAUAUUUGUAAAAGAAAAUAUUUUUUGUUAAAUGAUUGAUUUCGUUGCAAUAAUAUCAUGAAUAAUAUCAUUACUCAUAAGACCAAAUAACAUAGAGAUACGAUACGCGACACUCUACUUGAUUUUAUGAAAUGCUCAGUUUAUAGUUAUGUGUGUGUGUGUGUGUGUGUGUUCGGGUUUAACGUCUUUUUCAACAAUUUUUCAGUCAUAUAUACGACGAUGUCUACUUGUAGCAGUGAGCACAAUGCCCAACUUUAUAGUGCUGCCUCACUUGAAUAUCACGCCGUAGACACGUGGCAUGAUACUCCACCCAGUCACAUUAUACUGACACCGGGCUGACCAGUCCUAGCACUAUCCCCUUAAUGCUGAGCGCCAAGCGAGGAAGCUGCUAGUACCAUUUUUUACGUCUUUGGUAUGACGCGGCCGGGGAUCGAACCCACGACCUCCCGCACUCGAAGCGGACGCUCUACCACUAGGCUACCGAGGCGGUUAGGUUUAUAGUUAUGGAACUGUUUCAUAGACCUGCACAUUGAAAUGUUUUUGUUGCAGUUAACAGGUGGGAUUGAGCGUUGUGAUAUAUUUGAACUUAUUUAAAACGUACAUAAAGUGUACAUCUGGCAUAAAUUAUGAGCAGUUUGGACCUGUAUAUGCUUAUUCCGUUUGAGUAAUAAGAUAAGGAUUUGUAGCUUAUAUAGAGGUCGAAGAAACUGAAUUGUGACAAAAAUACAAUUUUUAUUUAAACAUAAUUUAUAUAUGUACUUUUAAUUUUCAAAACUAAACUUUUGUACCAUGAUCUUUUUCACUCGACUGUUUAGCGAAAGUGACAGUUUCAUCAUAGCUUCGAUUCUUUAUAUGUAACACGUAAAAGGCAGCCAUUAUGAUACAGAAAGUAUUCAUUACAUUCGAAACCCUUAGAAUGAAAAUUGAGAGUUACUGUCAUAAAUUUAUUUUUAAAAGAAAUAAAAGCCGCAUUGCAAUCAUUAUCUUAACGCAUUUUACUGUGAAAUUGACUUGAUCUUGAUUAAAAAAUAGCCCAUAUUGUUGACGUGGUUUUCAAUGGAAAUUAUUUGCUGAAAAAAAGACAACUUUUGUUACAGCAACGAUUAUUGAGACAGCUAAGUCUUAUUAGUAUGUAUGUUUUCUGGCGGUCAUUUUGAAAAUAAUGGUAGAUUUAUCGGAAAAACCAAAUUCUUCAUUUCAUUGAAAUAAAACUUAUUCAAUUUUAUGUUGUUUUUUUUUUUUUUUUUUGUUUUUUGCUUUGUACAACUGAUAAUUAAUAUUUGAACAAUUGUAGCUAACCUAUACUUGUACGUAUGACCUUUUUCAAUUUGUAAUUUUGUAAUUGUGUAAGCUGAGUGAUGUUAGUACUACGCACAUCAAUGUCUGUCUAAAAAAUUAGACCAAAGCUAGCAUAGAAGUGAGGUUGUUUUUGUUUUGGUGUUGUUGCUUUUUCAUUCUUUUUAAAAAAUCUCAUUUGUAUGAUUCCUACGGAAUAACUUUAAUUUGGAAAUUUGAAAUAGUUCUCACAUUGAAUAAAGACUUACACUGGCGGAUUUGCUUUCCUUUAAAUGUUCAACGGGUGGAACUUUCUUGAAACUUUUGAGUGCAAUGUGGGGUGCAUCAAUACCAACGUUUUGCAUUUUAUUCGGUAAUGCAUAAAAAAGAAUCUUGUAAUAAUCGAAGUAAAUUAUCAAAUAUUUUUUAGACAUUAAAAGAAACAUUUAUGAUAAGAAAUAUCACAUGUCUUUUGUUUUCACCAUCAAAAUCAACAUAAAUUCAAUGCCAGGCUUAAUUAUAUUCAUAAGACACCAAUGUUUUUAAAUUCGUCAUUAAAUUUCUUGAUAUUUUGAUCUUACCGACAUCUACCUCUAAAAGUUUUCUGAAGGAUAUUUAAACAUCAUGAUAUAGCUAAACCUUUGCCUACAUUUUGGGUAAUUUUGUAACAAACGAAAAACAGACGUGACUUUGAAACAAACACGAGAGAAAUAUAGAGUAAACACCACAAUAUAAUCAAUCAUUUAAACAAAAAUACUUCAAAAGGAGCAUAAGUGUAUGCUACUGACUCUUGAAAGAAGGACACUACGAUUGAUUUUACAUCUUUUAAUUUAAUGAUGUGUUCAAGGGAACAUGUAAUUUAUUGCCUUUCCUUGAUAUGGUGAUAUAAUAUCAUGAUGAAAAAAGAAUGUUAUUUAUUUGGUAAAUAGAAACUUAUAAUUACUAUCAUAUAGAAAAUCACUGACAUCGAAGUGUUGACUGCUGAAAACAUUUAUCACAUAUUACUCUUAAUAAUAAUCAUUUAUACGUUAAGUGUCUAAUAUGAAGUCACCAAUAUAACAGAUAUUAGUAUUAAAUGGCAAUGCAAUGUAAGUCACUCUUGACGGGGACAAUGUUUAUCCCUGAGAAAUUAUUUAAACAAAACUGUUGGAGAACAACUAUAUAAUGCAAUAGACCAAAACACUUCAUGGCAAAUUACUUUAGACAAGAAGAGAUUCAAGUUAUUCCAUGUGAGUAAGUAAGCCUGGGCGGGAUCGGGAUUUGCCCUAGAGGCAAGACCAAGACAUUGUUUAAAUGUUUCAUUUUAGUUACAACGGCAACCAAAAUUUUAUUCCAUAAUUUGCGCAAAAUGCUUUAAUUUUUAGCACUGGCAAUACUCUUGAGUAAAAUGUAAAUUACUGAAAUUUAGAAAUAGGUCCUGGUGUGUGUUGCAACCAAAUAGUUAGGUUCUUAUGUCUAAAAGCAACGCUUUACUGUUUUACAAAGCAUUUAUUCAGCAAACGGAUAACAGUUUCCGUACAGAGUGGAAAAAGUAGCAGAUGUGCCUGUAACGAUGGUCUUUUAUCCAGGUUUGAAGAACAUGAACUUCCUAAGAAGAAUGGCUAUACAAAGACAUUUAGUUUGUCGUAAACGUCGUCGUAAAUCGUCACGUUAGCUUCCGGUUGGACAUGUGCACAUACAAGUAUUAAGUGUCUGAUAAUGUAGUUGCAGCCACGCUUUGGAAGUGAGAGAGUUUGAGUAUGUACAGUUGUUUGACCUGUCUUAUCCUGUGGCAGUCCCAGAAGAUGUUACCAUUACGAAUAAAUGCAAGGGAACUUGAAGACAAUGGUUAGUGCAGAAGAGAAAUAAAAGCAAUGAUAAAAGUAACAGAUAUAAAUAAGAAGUGCUACAAGUGUGUUGUCAUGUGAAGCUUUACUAUGGUGCCCCUAAAGUGACAUGUUACACACUUUUUUUCCACUUAGGUAAUCUGAGACU